GAAAUGCGAUAAGUAAUGUGAAUUGCAGAAUUCAGUGAAUCAUCGAAUCUUUGAACGCACCUUGCGCUCCUUGGUAUUCCGAGGAGCAUGCCUGUUUGAGUGUCGUGGUAUUCUCAACCCCCCUUCCUGCACUCCGGUGCCGGGGGGCGUCGGUUGGACUUUGGAGGCUUGCGGGGGCGUCACCGGCCCGCUCCUCUGAAACGUAUUAGCUUGAGACCACUGGCCCUGAGCGCGAUCCAGCGUGAUAAUUCGUCUACGCCGUUCCGCUCGCGGUGUCUUUGGGCGGCUUCGAACUGUCUGGCGCACCAGACAAAGAUUUUUGAACAUCUGACCUCAAAUCAGGUAGGACUACCCGCUGAACUUAA
rnacentral:misc_RNA from 1 species